GGCGAACGGGUGAGUAACACGUGGGUGAUCUGCCCUGCACUCUGGGAUAAGCCUGGGAAACUGGGUCUAAUACUGGAUAUGACCUUUCUCCUUAUGGGGUUUGGUGGAAAGUUUUCGGUGUAGGAUGAGCCCGCGGCCUAUCAGCUUGUUGGUGGGGUGAUGGCCUACCAAGGCGACGACGGGUAGCCGGCCUGAGAGGGUGAUCGGCCACAUUGGGACUGAGAUGCGGCCCAG
rnacentral:rRNA from 1 species